GCCUCUGUAGCUCAGUUGGUUAGAGCGCUGCACCGGAAUCGCAAGGCAGUACAUAGGUUCAAUUCCUACCAGAGAAC
rnacentral:tRNA from 1 species